rnacentral:rRNA from 1 species
AUCUACGGCCAUACCACGUUGAAAAUACCACCUCUCGUCCGAUCCCUGAAGUUAAGCAGCGUCGGGGCGAGUUAGUACCUGGAAGGGAGACCACUUGGUGUCGUACACU